GAUGAACGCUGGCGGCGUGCCUAAUACAUGCAAGUCGAGCGAACAGACGAGGUGCUUGCUCCUUUGACGUUAGCGGCGGACGGAUGAGUAGAACAUAGGUAACCUACCUAUAAGACAAGGCUAACUUACGGAAACCAAAGCUAAUACCGGGUAAUAUUUCGAACCGGAUGGUUCGAUAGUGCAAGCUGGCUUUGCUAUCACUUAUACAUAGACCUGCGCCGUAUUAGCUGUGUGGUAAGGUAACGGCUUACCAAGGCCACGCUACGUAGCCGACCUGAGAGGGUGAUCGGCCACACUGGAACUGAGACACGGUACAGACUCCGACGGGAGGCAGCAGUAGGGACUCUUCCGAAAUGUGCGAAAGCCUGACGGAGCAACGCCGCGUGGGUGAUGAAGGUCUGCGUAUCGUAAAACUCUGUUAUUAGGGAAGAACAAACGCGUAAGUAACUGUGCACGUCGUGACGGUACCUAAAGAGAAAGCCACGGCUAACUACGUG
rnacentral:rRNA from 1 species